AUAUUGAGGCCCUGGAACGUGUUCAAAGGAGGGCAACAAAGCUGGUGAGGGGUCUGGAACACAGGCCGUAUGAGGAGAGGCUGAAGGAGCUGGGGUUGUUCAGCCUGGAGAAGAGGAGGCUCAGGGGAGACCUCAUUGCUCUCUAUAACUUCCUGAAGGGAGGUUGUAGUGAGCUGGGGGUCGGCCUCUUCUCUCGUGUCAUUAGUGAUAGGACCAGGGGGAAUGGUUUCAAGCUACGGCAGGGGAGAUUCAGGCUGGACAUUAGGAAGUAUUACUUUUCAGAAAGGGUGGUCAGGCACUGGAAUGGACUGCCCAGGGAGGUGGUGGAGUCACCGACCCUGGGGGUGUUCAAGGAAAGGCUGGAUGUUGUGUUGAGGGACAUGGUUUAGUGGGAGCUAUUGGGAAUAGGUGAACGGUUGGACUGGGUGAUCUUUUAGGUCUUUUCCAACCUUGGUGAUUCUAUGAUUCUAUGAUUCUAUGAUUCUAUUUCUG